rnacentral:rRNA from 1 species
GACGAACGCUGGCGGCGUGCUUAACACAUGCAAGUCGAACGGAAAGGCCUGCUUUCCCUUGUGGAUUGCGGGUACUCGAGUGGCGAACGGGUGAGUAACACGUGAGUGAUCUGCCCCCAACUUGGGUAUAAGCCUGGGAAACUGGGUCUAAUUCCCGAUAGGACUGCAGGGUGGUGCCUGUGGUGGAAAACGAUUUUCUAGUGGUUGGGGAUGAGCUCGCGGCCUAUCAGUUUGUUGGUGGGGUAAUGGCCUACCAAGGCGGCGACGGGUAGCCGGCCUGAGAGGGUGGACGGCGACAUUGGGACUGAGAUACGGCCCAGACUCCUACGGGAGGCAGCAGUGGGGAAUAUUGCACAAUGGGCGGAAGCCUGAUGCAGCGACGCUGCGUGGGGGAUGACGGCCUUCGGGUUGUAAACUCCUUUCGACCGCGAGGAAGCCACCUGGUUGGAAGGGUGGUGACGGUAGUGGUAGAAGAAGCACCGGCUAACUACGUG